rnacentral:rRNA from 1 species
UACGUAGGGUGCGAGCGUUUAAUCGGAAUUACUGGGCGUAAAGCGUGCGCAGGCGGUUCGUUGUGUCGGCGGUGAAAGCCCCGGGCUCAACCUGGGAAUGGCCGUUGAAACUGGCGAACUGGAGUGUGGCAGAGGGGGGUGGAAUUCCGCGUGUAGAGGUGAAAUUCGUAGAUAUUCGGAAGAACACCAGUGGCGAAGGCGGCUCACUGGACCGGUAUUGACGCUGAGGUGCGAAGCGUGGGGAGCAAACAGG